GGACAUUGCCUAUGGCGGUGGAAUUCACAGCCUGUGUUGAAGUUUGGCAUGCAGGCUGGGGACUUUCUUCUUUCCACUAACAUUUUACUUUCUGGAAACAACUACACUAAAGUUGCUCUCCUAUUUAAAUUGAUGAACAUACAAAUGGUAAACACCAACACACACUACACAAUCCAGGACACCUACUGUGUUGACACUAUUAAAGAUUUUUGGGAAGAGAAGAGGUCUGAGUCCAUCAGCCGACUAAAAGGGAAAGAUGUUGUGCUCCUAGGUGAUGGCAGAAAUGACUCACCAGGGCAUUCUGCCCAAUACUGUAGCUACACAACCAUGGAGCUUGACUCUUAAGGAAAUCAUCCAUGUGGCCACUAUAGACAAGCGGCAGACCAACUGGAACUCCAACAUCAUGGAGAAGGAGGGUUUUAUCCAGACAGUGGACAAGCUUACGCAAGAGAUCAAGGUAGUGGAGUUCUGCACGGAUGCUCAUGUCCAGAUUGGAGCCCUUUUGAUUCAAAGACCCAGAUAAAGGAAGAUAUAAGGAUCUGAAAAUUUACCACAGCCUGGACAUGUGGCAUGGUGCCAAAAAUUUGUGCAAAAAAAUAGCAACCGCGGGAAAGGUGAAAGGACAAUCUAUUCCCAAUCUAUCCCAAUCUAUAGGGAUAUAUAGUUAACCAUUUCUGGUGGUGCUGCAAGACGGCAGAAACAUUUGAGCAGUUUCUUGCACUUUGGAUUGGAGUUGUGCAUCAUGUUUGCAACAAUCACACCUGGGAAACAGGAAGCUGCCAACACGACCAUCUUGAAGACACUCAGGAUAAAGAGUGGAUUGAGAGAGAUUCAAAGAGCCAUAAAGCGCUUGUGGAGAUCGUCCUCAACAAGCGUUGGCAGAAGGAUGUCCACAAGUAUCUGCGCUUCAGAUCGACAGCACAUCUCGAGUCUUUUCAGAAUCCAGUAGGGGUGUAACGGUACAUGUAUUCGUAUUGAACCGUUUCGGUUCGAGGCUUCCGGUUCGGUACGCAUACAA